rnacentral:tRNA from 1 species
GGAGGUGUAGCUCUGUGGUAGAGCACGUGCUUAGCACGCAUGAGGUCCUGGGUUCAUUCCCCAGUCCCUCCA